rnacentral:rRNA from 1 species
UACGGAGGGUGCAAGCGUUAUUCGGAAUUACUGGGCGUAAAGCGCGCGUAGGUGGUUUGUUAAGUUGGAUGUGAAAUCCCCGGGCUCAACCUGGGAACUGCAUUCAAAACUGACAAGCUAGAGUAUGGUAGAGGGUGGUGGAAUUUCCUGUGUAGCGGUGAAAUGCGUAGAUAUAGGAAGGAACACCAGUGGCGAAGGCGACCACCUGGACUGAUACUGACACUGAGGUGCGAAAGCGUGGGGAGCAAACAGG